AGAGUUUGAUCCUGGCUCAGGAUGAACGCUGGCGGUCUGCUUAACACAUGCAAGUCGAACGGAAUCCGCAAGGAUUUAGUGGCGGACGGGUGAGUAACGCGUGAGAAUCUGCCUUCAGGUCGGGGACAACAGCUGGAAACGGCUGCUAAGACCCGAUGUGCUUAACGGUGAAAGAUUAAUCGCCUGAAGAUGAGCUCGCGUCCGAUUAGCUAGUUGGUGGGGUAAGAGCCUACCAAGGCGUCGAUCGGUAACUGGUCUGAGAGGACGACCAGUCACACUGGGACUGAGACACGGCCCAGACUCCUACGGGAGGCAGCAGUGGGGAAUUUUCCGCAAUGGGCGAAAGCCUGACGGAGCAAGACCGCGUGAGGGACGAAGGCUCUUGGGUUGUAAACCUCUUUUCUCAGGGAAGAAACCUGACGGUACCUGAGGAAUAAGCAUCGGCUAGCUCCGUGCCAGCAGCCGCGGUAAUACGGAGGAUGCAAGCGUUAUCCGGAAUUAUUGGGCGUAAAGCGUUCGCAGGUGGCUGUUCAAGUCGGCUGUCAAAGCCCGGGGCUUANCCCCUGGAAAGGCGGUGGAAACUGAACGGCUAGAGUGCAGUAUGGCGUAGAGGGAAUUCCCCAGUGUAGCGGUGAAAUGCGUAGAGAUUGGGAAGAACACCGGUGGCGAAAGCGCUCUGCUGGACUGCAACUGACACUGAGGGACGAAAGCUAGGGGAGCGAAAGGGAUUAGAUACCCCUGUAGUCCUAGCCGUAAACGAUGGAUACUAGGCGUUGCCGGGCUCGACCCUGGCAGUGUCGGAGCUAACGCGUUAAGUAUCCCGCCUGGGAAGUACGCACGCAAGUGUGAAACUCAAAUGAAUUGACGG
rnacentral:rRNA from 1 species